rnacentral:lncRNA from 1 species
CUGUCACUCUUUAAGCAAAAUAAACAGAUUUUUGAGCAUCAUCUCUUUUUUGGAUCAUCAUUUUGCAAGUGGAGAUUGUGCUUUUUUUUCUGAAGCUUUGGUAGUGUAACUGUAAGAGUCCUGGAAUUGGAAAAGCAAAUCCAGAAGUUGAGUUCCAUGACUUUUUUGCUGUUUGCCUUUGGACUUGCAUCAUUUAUAUUUUUAAUUCAUCGAGGAUGAGAAAAUUGAUUAACACAAAAUCUUUUCAUGUCUUUUCUGAUGAGAGACUAGCUGAAUCCAAGAAGAGAAGCCCUUGAAGAGUGUAUUCUAUUCUAGACAAGCAUUCACACAUUGGCUUCUUUGGUGCCAGCAUGUUUCUGAUCAGCAUGAAAACUGCGCAGGAGCUUUUCUGUCUUGCAGAGCUAGUUAAUGAGAUUGUUGCUGCCUUCAGAUUCUAUAAAGGACUUCUCCAAUAUUGGAUUAAAGAAUGAAGAAAGGAUCAAAUUGAGACAUCCAGGGGGGAAGAGUUCCCUGGCAAAACUCCAAUCUGCCUGAGCACUGAGGUGGAGCCACAGAAGUCCGGGUCAUUUGCACCUGGGAGGAGCCUGGCCCCUCCUCUUCCUGUGUGGAAUCUGGGAUUUAAUCUGUGAGGAGGGAAGGCCAAGGGCAGGAAGCACAGGCUCUCACUUCACUAAGAGUCUCUGUUUCCCCUUUUUUUCCUUUAUGCCUAAUUAAUAAAUCCCAUUUUUCUCACUCUUCAAA